rnacentral:rRNA from 1 species
CGAACGCUGGCGGCAGGCCUAACACAUGCAAGUCGAGCGCACCUUCGGGUGAGCGUCGGACGGGUUAGUAACGCGUGGGAACAUACCCUUCUCUACGGAAUAGCCAUUGGAAACGAUGAGUAAUACCGUAUACGCCCUUCGGGGGAAAGAUUUAUCGGAGAUGGAUUGGCCCGCGUAAGAUUAGAUAGUUGGUGGGGUAAUGGCCUACCAAGUCUACGAUCUUUAGCUGGUUUUAGAGGAUGAUCAGCAACACUGGGACUGAGACACGGCCCAGACUCCUACGGGAGGCAGCAGUGGGGAAUCUUAGACAAUGGGCGCAAGCCUGAUCUAGCCAUGCCGCGUGAGUGAUGAAGGCCUUAGGGUCGUAAAGCUCUUUCGCCAGGGAUGAUAAUGACAGUACCUGGUAAAGAAACCCCGGCUAACUCC